rnacentral:rRNA from 1 species
UACGUAGGGUGCGAGCGUUGUCCGGAAUUAUUGGGCGUAAAGGGCUCGUAGGCGGUUUGUCGCGUCGGGAGUGAAAUCCAGGGCUAACUCUGGACUGGCUUCGAUACGGCAGACUAGAGGUAUGCAGGGGAGAACGGAAUUCCUGGUGUAGCGGUGAAAUGCGCAGAUAUCAGGAGGAACACCGGUGGCGAAGGCGGUCUCUGGGCAUUACCUGACGCUGAGGAGCGAAAGUGUGGGAGGCGAACAGG